rnacentral:rRNA from 1 species
AUACGGAGGGGGUUAGCGUUGUUCGGAAUUACUGGGCGUAAAGCGCACGUAGGCGGACUGGAAAGUUGGGGGUGAAAUCCCGGGGCUCAACCCCGGAACUGCCUCCAAAACUUCCAAUCUAGAGAUCGAGAGAGGUGAGUGGAAUUCCAAGUGUAGAGGUGUAAUUCGUAGAUAUUUGGAGGAACACCAGUGGCGAAGGCGGCUCACUGGCUCGAUACUGACGCUGAGGUGCGAAAGCGUGGGGAGCAAACAGGAUUAGAAACCCCAGUAGUCC